rnacentral:lncRNA from 1 species
GAGCGAAAAUGCUCCGCGCUGGAUCGUACCGGAAGUCUGUGCGCAUGCGUCACAAAAAUCGACUUCCGCUCUGUGUGUUUCCAUGGCCACCAAAAUCCACCAAGAUGGCCGUCCCUCACCG